rnacentral:rRNA from 1 species
UGGGGAAUAUUGGACAAUGGGCGCAAGCCUGAUCCAGCCACGCCGCGUGAGUGACGAAGGCCUUAGGGUUGUAAAGCUCUUUUGGCGGGGAAGAUAAUGACGGUACCCGCAGAAUAAGCUCCGGCUAACUUCGUGCCAGCAGCCGCGGUAAUACGAAGGGAGCUAGCGUUGUUCGGAAUCACUGGGCGUAAAGCGCACGUAGGUGGGCAGUUAAGUCAGGGGUGAAAGCCCGAGGCUCAACCUCGGAAUUGCCUCUGAUACUGGCUGUCUAGAGUCCGAGAGAGGUGGGUGGAAUUCCUAGUGUAGAGGUGAAAUUCGUAGAUAUUAGGAAGAACACCGGUGGCGAAGGCGGCCCACUGGCUCGGUACUGACACUGAGGUGCGAAAGCGUGGGGAGCAAACAGGAUUAGAUACCCCCGUAGUCCCUGAGCGGGCUGGCAAGGCGCAU